UGUCCCGAUGGGCGCGGGCGGGAACGCGUCGUGUUGCGGUACAGUGAAAGUGGCAUGGUAGCAGCACCGUGCCGCGGUGAGGGCGAGCGCGGUCGAUGAGCCCAAUGCAGAGGGCAGCACGGAGCUGUCGGGUAGGUGGGGCGAGCUCCCCGCAACCGUUUCAUCUCCCCGUCUGCUUGCGCACUUUGUAGAGCCGCGCCGCGCGCUCACUAAUGCGUCAUACUGCCAUCGAAAUUGACGCGCGUGCCGUUCCUCCGCUUCGACACUUCGCGCGCGCCAUGUGAACUUCAGUGUUGACUUACAUACAGACUAAGACGUGUUGGCUUAAUCGAUACGCAUCUCUGCGAUUUAGUUUGAACAAUUGUAACCAUGGACAGUGACUUUGGUGCCUGUAGCAGUUCCCGUGACUCUACAAUGGUGCACGAGGUUGGCGCACGUGCUCACAUUUCAAUUUCGAAAAUGAAAAUGGAGAUAGGCGUACCCUGGUUUUCAUUUUUAUCAAGUGGAAUAUGGAGUUUUAGGAACGCAAGACUACAAAAUAGCGUAAACAUCGAUUUUUCAGGUAGAGAUGGCGUUGGUGAUAGAUAGCUUGGCCUUCGGCAACAUGACAUGAAUUGUGAGACAACAUCGAAUUUCUGUGGAUUGAGAUUAUGGCUGACUAAACAACCGUAGGCGUUAAUGCUGAUUGAUGUCUUGAAAUUUUUAAUCCAGUGUUCAGCUCGCAAUACGGUGCGCGGCGGAGGCAAGCGGGGGGCCUGUACAGCUGAUCGCCCGACUUACACAGAUCACUAUCAUGCUCCUGUCGAAUCAAGAUGCGAUAUUUUUUGUUAAAUAAGGAAAUCAAAGUGCUUGUGAUAUAUUUAUAAUUAUUUUAAAUAAAAUUAUUCUUACAUAGCUAAA